rnacentral:rRNA from 1 species
GACGAACGCUGGCGGCGCGCUUAACACAUGCAAGUCGAGCGAAGCGGCGGACGGGUGAGUAACACGUGAGUAACCUGCCUUAGACAUUGGGAUAGCCUCGGGACAACGGGAUUAAUACCAAAUGGUCUAAGAUGGACUCGCGUCCCCUUAGCGAGUUGGUGAGGUAACGGCCAACCAAGGAGACGAUCAGUAGCCGGCCUGAGAGGAUGAACGGCCACAUUUGAACUGAGACACGGUCCAAACUCUACGGGAGGCAGCAGUUGGGAAUAGUGAACAAUGGGGGAAACCCUGAUGCAGCGACGCCGCGUGAACGAAGAAGGUAUUCGUAUCGUAAAGUUCUGUCCUAUGGGAAGCAGUACCAUAGAAGAAAGCUCCGGCUAAAUACGUGCCAGCAGCCGCGGUAAUUC